rnacentral:lncRNA from 1 species
CUGCAUACCCUGUUUACCUAAGUCAUGAGGAGAGAGCUGUAUCUAAAUGCUUUUGUUAUUGUUCUUCAAAACACAUACAUUUGAAUUAAUGUGUCUUCUGCUCAAACAUUUAAUUUCCACUAACCAUAGCUGUAUCAACAAAGAGAGCUUGGAUCUGAUGAAAAAUUCCCCACGUUUAAAAGUGGCAUUGCACUUUGGGUUCACUUCUCUCUCAUCAAAAUCAUGUUUGCCAUGCCUUUCCACACAGUGUAUCCCUCCACGGUCUCAUCUGACCUUUCUCUGCAUCUGUGUUUUCGUUGGCUUUCAGACAGGAUGGCUGAAAAUGAGGAGAGAAACAAGAGAAACACACGAACCUUCACAGUCACAGAUGUUUACGGCUGAACGGGACCUCAAGGGUCAACCGUCUGGCAAUGUUCCAAAUGUAUCCAGGUGGCUUGAAAUACGGACAGAUUCUGCCAAUGACGCAGACCCCCGAAAGCAAUUACAGCCAAAGUGGAUCUCAGCAUUCCAUUAAUUCACAUCCAAAAGGUUUGCAACAUGUGUGCACACUCAGCUUCAACAAGGACAAAAUACCAAGUCUGUGGAAGUGUACCAUUAGGGCUGUAAAUCCCAAGAGAUUCCAAGUGCAUUUUGAUUAGUCAUAACAUAAAGCAAGAGGUUAUCAGCCCCACCUGGAACAAGAUGAAGCCCUCAGAAUGAAUCAACAGUGGGGAUAGAGACCAACAGAAAUCCAGGAGACGAAAAACAAAUAUCCAAAGGGGGGAGGAAAGCUGCCCCAUUACAGUACUUUGUUUCUUUUCUAUAAGUGGUGCCUCUCAAGAUGAAUUUAAUUCAUUCCAUGGUUAAUGUUGUCUUGCGAAAAAUUCGUUUUGUGAAACGUGUUUUCCCAUAGGAAUGCAUUGAAAUCUAAUUAACGCGUUCCUAUGGGCAAAAAAAGUAAGAACAAAGUCAAAUUUGCUUUACAAAGGGAUUAUUAGGUGCUCUUUAAAGCCAUACAUAUUGUGCAGAUGAUUUCAAAAAUUUCAAUUAAAAAACCUAACUUUUUAAACAUCAUAGAAAAACAUUUAAAAAUCAGCAAACACGAGGCAGGAACAAAAAAACGGAAAACAUUCGUCUUGCAAAGCAUGGCCAUAGGAAGAUUUGUCUUGUGAGUCAUCAACCCCAUUGCCAAAACCAUUUGUCUUGUAAGUUUUUUGUCCUGCGAGGCAUUGGUCUUGUGAGGCACCACUGUAUUGCCUUGCCGUGGAGACAAAGGCCAAUAAGGAAGGCCAGUAUUGCUUGCUUAAUAGUAGAGGGUAUUAUUGUUUGUAGUUUAUCUUCUCAAAAAGAUGGCACACUUUGUAGAGCCUGCUUUCUUUUCUGAAGCAGGAAAAAGGGAAACGAGAAACGGAUUGUGAUACCACCCACUGAUAUGAAAUACAUAUUAGGGCUCCUUGACAUGUUGGAGAUCCUACACAACACCACAGGAACAGCUUCUCCUGCACAGGAUGAGGCACUGUCUCGUUCAGAGAGAAUAAAAUCACAUGGCGUUCUAUGCA